rnacentral:tRNA from 1 species
GUCCAGGGAUUGGAAACGAACCCAGCGUGAUCUGCUUACCAGGCCGAUGCCAUGUCCACUACGCUACCCUGGA